rnacentral:rRNA from 1 species
GAAGGCCUUAUGCGUUGUAAACUGCUUUUAUACAGGAAGAAACGACUCUUGCGAGAGGCAUUGACGGUACUGUAUGAAUAAGCACCGGCUAACUCCGUGCCAGCAGCCGCGGUAAUACGGAGGGUGCAAGCGUUGUCCGGAUUUAUUGGGUUUAAAGGGUGCGCAGGUGGUUUAUUAAGUCAGUGGUGAAAGACGGUCGCUCAACCAUUGCAGUGCCAUUGAAACUGGUAGACUUGAGUAAAGUAGAGGUGGGCGGAAUUGAUAGUGUAGCGGUGAAAUGCAUAGAUAUUAUCAAGAACUCCAAUUGCGAAGGCAGCUCACUUGGCUUUUACUGACACUCAUGCACGAAAGUGUGGGUAUCAAACAGGAUUAGAUACCCUGGUAGUCCACACUGUAAACGAUGAUAACUAGGUGUCGGCCGAAUCUGGUCGGUGCCACAGCGAAAGCGUUAAGUUAUCCACCUGGGGAGUACGCCGGCAACGGUGAAACUCAAAGGAAUUGACGG